AUCAUCAAUAGUUUAAGUAACAAUUCACCCUAUUACCUACUACUGGCUUAUUACCUGCCUAUUGUUACCUAUUAAAGUAUGAUCCGAUACAUAAGCUCAAAUAUUACCUAUAGUGGUCUCAAACUCAAUUCCUUGAGGCCCACUGCUCUGCACUGUUGAGCUCCAACCAACUCCAACUCACACCUGCUUAAUAGUGUCUAGUAGUUUUGAACAACUUGAUUAGUUGGAUCAGCUGUUUGAUUAAGGUUGGAGCAAAACUGUGCAGAGCUGCGGCCCUCCAGGAAUUGAGUUAGAGACAUGAGCCUUAUAGCAAAAUUAACAAUCAGCUAAUUAUUAAGUUAUACAGUCUUAGUUAAUGGUUUGUUAAUGGUGUGAUUUGUGCAUUGCAAUAAAGUGUUACAUAUAGGCUAUCUAAAUAGGCAUGUUAUAAUAUGUAAUGUAAAUAUUAAAGGUUUUAAACUUAAUACAUUUAAUCUAAUAUAUUUGUGUAUAUUUCAAGUGUAUGAACAAUUCUUUACAGGACAUAUUGUAAGUUUGACACUGUGUAAACAAGAUAUUAUUAUGAUUGGCCCAAACAGACUGAGCUGAACAGAGUGUUCCAGCCGGGACGGACUGCAUACGUUCCAGCAUCAGUUCGGGAGGAGGUCCCUUUAAGUUUCCAUUGAGGGAGGCCGCACUAUGUCACAUGAUGGACAUGAUAUAAUGAAACAGCGAACAGAAAACCAAGUGCGUGCGUGUGUGUGUGUCCAUGACUACAAAAUAAGACUGUAAAGCAACGCAGUCGUCCUGUAAACGCCCCGUUUCCAGAGUUGUGGAGCAGGAGUGUUUCCAACAUCAGCCGGUGAUGGUGUUUGGUGUUGCGCGGACCGGACUGCACCUGCUGCCGCGCAUAAUAAGCUGCGCACUUCGCAGAAAUGCGGACGCGUGAAGUUAUUUGCGGCUUCUUCAUAUGAUGUUACCGCAAACUCCUCGCGCACUUAUGAAAGCUGCAGAAAUGUGGAUUGUUGUGAAGAACAGCUCUUAAAGUAAGUGUGUACGACAAUGCCUCAGGCUAUUGGAAAUGUAUGUGCGUGUAUUAGAAAUAAAGCAACGGGUUUCUUGUUGCCAAGAGGAGGUAUCUUUUGAUGAUGUGCCACAUGUAAUGCGCUUUCACUCAACCAAACCUUGCCAACGUCCGCAUUCCGGUCUCUGUUGCGCAGAUUAAAAUCCAAAGUUGUUGGUGAACGUGUGAGAUUUUAGUCCUGGAUGAAAUAUGCGACUGCUGUCUAAUUUAAAACCUCUCAGCUGCGGAGCACUUCUGUUUUAAAGAACAACAUCACGCCCCCCUGAGUGCGCAGUAACGUUAGGAUGUCACGGCAACCGAAUAUAACCUAUGUCCUCGUACACAGCUCCAGCCGACUUUAGCCUUUAUUAUUGACGAUAAACUGAAUAAAUCGAGGCGUGAGGCUUGCAGAAACGCGCGAGAGAGGGAAAGGAGCAAACACUCUCGCACUUUCAGAAGUUGCGCUGUUAUUUCAGUACCAUCGUCAUCGUCAUUACACAAGAUAAAGCGGAACAGGAGCGAUAUGAAGCAAAACUUGACAGAAAGGGAGAGCCGGCUCGAUGCCUGUCACAAACACCACUUCAUGUUCAGCAUGACUGGAUGGAUUGAGGAAGACAGAGUGGAGAAAGACAGAGUACAUCUGUAUUGGUGUUCCCAGGGCAGGUGGAUGGGGGCGAUGGAAGGAUGCCUGUUUGUUGUUAAUUGCUGUGAAUGAGGCCCAUGGGAUGAACCAGAAAUGCAGGCCACUGAGCAGAACUGCACUUGGACCUGGUAAGUCGCACCUGUCAGUAAUUACAAUUUGUUGGAUGGGUUUAUGAGCAGGUUUACAUUUAAGUUCAGCUCUGUUAUUUGAACUGGAAGUAUUUAAAUAUAAACGAGUCUGAUUCCUGUUUUUAAGCACUUUUCAAAGGAAAUAUUUCCUCUUUGAUGAUGUUAUUAAAAUUGUUAUUCACAAACAUUAGCAGCACUUUAAAAAAAUAUUUUUUUUUUUUCAAAUGUUGUAUGCAAACCACAUUAUAACUUCGAAAGUUAUACACUUAUACAGCACCAUUACAAAGUUACUAGGGCUGGUCUGAUAAACGAUAUUAUAUUAAAUCGCAAAUCGAUAACAACGAUAAGCUCUGGGCUUUUUGCUCUAUAUUGAUCUAAGAGCCAAUCACACAGCAGAAAUGUGCAACAAUGGGAAUCUAAAAGUGUGUUAACAUUACAAAUGUACCGAAUUUUUGACAAAAAUUAUCGGCCACCAAAAAUGUUAAUAUAUGCCAUUUAAUGGACUCUCUAAUUUCCGUGGCUUCAGUCUUUGUUGGGAUACUCUUUUAAAUCUGGAAGCAUUAACAACUCAUAUCGAAACAUAUAUCAUUAUCGUUCAGGAUGGAAAAGAAUUAUCGAGAUUGCAUUUUUGCCAUAUCGCCCAGCCCUACUAGUUAAUGUAAUUAGAUUAUUUCCACACAAAGAAUUACUGUUCAUUUUCAGUUUAUUUAAUUACAGUGACUUUAUAUAAUGUCCUUGUACACAAAUUCGACAAUUCUGGAUCAGUUAAUUAAAUGAAGCAAAGGAAUUAAUUUAUCAAGUAGAUUGAACAUGUUUGAGAAACAAUGAAUGAAAUGUAUGUCAAUAUGCACAAAAUAUAGUGACAUUGCUUUGAAAUAAUUUGUGUUUUGAUGCAUAUAAUGCUUAUCAUUUUUAAAGUUUUUCAUUUUUAAUAAAAAUAAAAUGUCCUGUUUGGCUCUGAUUUCAGCAACAUGAGCUCAUUCUAAAAUGUAGCCCUAUAUACAUUUCUGGAGAUUGCGAAUUAUGUAGCCUGGAGUACGUA